AGUACAGUUGGAUUAUUGUUUGCUCCUGGACAUUUACACACACCUCACAUAGUAUGGGACUCAGAUGGACAGAAAAAGUCAGGGGUUCAGACCAAUCAUCAUACUCCAAAGCUGUCAGCGUCCCUGCUCACAUGGUGGACAGCAAAAGUCAGGGGUGCAGGACAAUCAUCAUGCUCGCACUUUUCACCCCUUUGCACACCUGUGACUUCGCUUUGAAUGUCUGGAUUUUACUGGUCAUGGAUGAAGCACUGUAAACCUUUUACCUCGAAGAUGUAAACCUUAAUAAA